UUAGGUUGCAUCCAAACCGAUUCAAAUCUUAUCAAAUCGGUUUUGGAUAAUCCAUUAAUACUUAUUGGGUUGGGCCAACCCAAAAUAAAAUCGCCCGUAUUAUUAUUAGUUUGAAUCGGUCCAAAACCAAAACCCAAUAGUUGAAUCACCAUCUCGCCAAACCCUACCGUUUUGAAUCAAAGCCAAAAUCGUCUGAAACUCAAAAAACCUUCGAAGGCUCAAAGUUCUGAAAAACUUGUUCGAACGUUCGGCAACUCUUCUCCGGCGGUCGUGGCUCUUCUCUUCGAUGAUUUAAAGCAUCUGUGGAAAGUAUUCUCUCCGGUUGUGGUUCUUCUCUUCGGCGGUCGUGGCUUUUCUCUUCGGCGGUUCGAAGAGGUGGUGGACAGAGGAGAUCGAACCUUCAUCCACCGAAGCUUUCCCACUUUUUUCCCCCUUUCUCUCGUUCUCUCCCUCUCUCGUUAUCUUAUCAACCCAGCCGACCUAGCUUCUUCUCUGCUGUUAGUUCUUUUCUUUUCUCCCUCUCCCUCUCUAUCCUUCUCUCCCGUCGUUUCUUAUAUCUUCUCGUUGGCGCAUCAGUAGAGUUACAGCGAUGAAGGUCCCUUCUGCUUCUCACUCCAUUUCGAGUCGGCAGUAGAAAAGAUUGUUCAAGUUCUCAUCGUCAUAGACGAAUCGACAGAAACCAAAGAAGCCUCCCCUGUUGCAUUGACCGACGUCAGGCCAAAAUUCCGAACCAGGUGGUCAAUUUCCAAUAACAACUACUUCUGGCAAUUGAUGUCGAUGAGAUUUGCUUCUACAUCAAAACCCUAUACUAUAGGUCAUCAUCAUUGUGGCAAAAGAAUUUUCUUGGAUGGGAGUAUGGAUAAAGGAUUUGGAUAAGGAAUUAACAACUGGUUGGUUCACCUCAAGGUUAGUCGUUUUUUGGGAACAUACUUGCUUAGUGUUUCUCUCUUUAUAGAAUAGUACUUUUUAUCCCAUAAACAAAGAACUUGCUUCUGUUCCAAGGGAGUUGAUACAUACUAUAAUUUUUACUUGUAGGUUGGCUAAAUGACAGAAACAUUCAAAUGGACUCCAAAAUUCAUAGAUUUUGGUUGAUUAAGGCAAUAUAUUGUUCUCUUAGAUGGUUUAGUUUUAAACAUUGGAUUCAAUAUUACAAGAUUGGGUUCUUAGUGACAGUUUAGCUCAUGACAAAGGAGGAUAUUUUUCCUUGGUCUGAACCAAAUUCUUCUCAUAUUUGAAUGACAUAAAAUUGUAUGUCACUAUCUAGAUGUUUAUAAUUGGAACAAGAUCAGGGUUUAUUAUUGUGAUGGAUCAUCAUUAAUUGGAGAUGUGGAGACUAUU